AACGAACGCUGGCGGCAUGCCUAACACAUGCAAGUCGAACGCCUGUAGCAAUACAGGAGUGGCGCACGGGUGAGUAACGCGUGGGAACCUGCCCUGGAGUGGGGGAUAACCGAGAGAAAUUUCGGCUAAUACCGCAUACGUCCUGAGGGAGAAAGAUUUAUCGCUCUAGGAGGGGCCCGCGUCGGAUUAGCUAGUUGGUGGGGUAACGGCCUACCAAGGCAACGAUCCGUAGCCGGCCNGAGAGGGCGGUCGGCCACACUGACACUGACAUACGGGUCAGACUCCUACGGGAGGCAGCAGUCGGGAAUUUUGGGCAAUGGGCGAAAGCCUGACCCAGCAACGCCGCGUGAAGGA
rnacentral:rRNA from 1 species